GCCAGACUCCUACGGGAGGCAGCAGUGAGGAAUAUUGGUCAAUGGCCGGAAGGCUGAACCAGCCAUGCCGCGUGAAGGUCAGUGCCCUAUGGGCGUUAAACUUCUUUUGUGCGGGAGCAAUAAUGGUCACGUGUGGCCAGACGAGAGUACCGCACGAAAAAGCAUCGGCUAACUACGUGCCAGCAGCCGCGGUAAUACGUAGGUGGCAAGCGUUAUCCGGAUUUACUGGGUGUAAAGGGCGUGUAGGCGGGACCGCAAGUCAGAUGUGAAAUGCCAGGGCUCAACCCUGGAACUGCAUGUGAAACUGUAGUUCUUGAGUGAUGGAGAGGGAGGCGGAAUUCCGUGUGGAGCGGUGAAAUGCGUAGAUAUACGGAGGAACACCAGUGGCGAAGGCGGCCUGCUGGACAUUAACUGACGCUGAGGCGCGAAAGCGUGGGGAGCAAACAGGAUUAGAUACCCCCGUAC
rnacentral:rRNA from 1 species